CACGUAGGGGGCGAGCGUUGUCCGGAUUUAUUGGGCGUAAAGAGCUCGUAGGCGGCUCAGUAAGUCGGGUGUGAAAUCUCCAGGCUCAACCUGGAGGGGUCAUUCGAUACUGCCGUGACUAGAGUUCGGUAGGGGAGUGUGGAAUUCCUGGUGGAGCGGUGAAAUGCGCAGAUAUCAGGAGGAACACCCGUAGCGAAGGCGGCACUCUGGGCCGAUACUGACACUGAGGAGCGAAAGCGUGGGGAGCGAACAGG
rnacentral:rRNA from 1 species